UAACAGUGGACACAGACAGCCAAUCUACACGUGUUCGGAGCCCAAUGGGCUCGCAGAGGAAUGAAGACAUCAACAGGAAAAACACCCGUGUGGAGCCAGAGGACCAGGUCCUCAUCAAGGUGGUGAAAAGAAAACAUUGGCACCAUCCACGCUGGGAAGGUCCAUUCACCGUCUUGCUGACCACUCCAACGUCGUUAAAAAUUGCAGAGCGGAACACCUGGAUACAUCAGAGCCACUGCAAGAAGGUAAUACCUCUCCAGGCAGACGACGGGAUUGUGGUGUGAAGUCCGGUUACAAAGGGUGGUGGUUCGUUUAGGGCCACUAAUCUCAACCCCGUGAAGAAAUCAACUGAGCCACAUCCAUUAAGAAAAUGCUUGGUCAGGUGUUACUUGCAGUGUUACAGGUGCUGCGACCCUAGAGGUCAGAGGACUGCUGAACUAUGACGAACUGCAGUCGAGGCAGAAAAGAUGGACACAUCUGAAAAACGACCCCAGCGAAGAAGAGAAACAACCACGACUGAAGAAUAAAUGGUUUUCGUAUAUGCAUAAGUAGCCUGCAAGUUAUGGGAAACGAAUUGCUAUGUGUGUUCUGUGUUGCCUAUUUCCUCUGACCAGGUGACCCUCCAUGGCAAAGUGAUGAGCAGAUUGCAGGCUAAAUGUUUUGCAUCCAUGGCAGGGGGAGGUUACGAUAUCACCCCCCCACGCUCCAGGUUUGAGAAAUGGGAUAUGUGAAGCCGAAUUUUGGGUAAACUGGAACCAUACUGUUAGAGGGAAAUCUAUUCCACAGCGGCUGAUCAUGCGAGGCAAGGAGCAACAUCCAAUGUGUAUAACAAGUUAACCAGGUCUGAAUAUGAGAAAAACACAGUACAAAGCUAAAAAAUGAAAAACAGGAGGGAAUGUUAGGUUUUGGAUCAUGUGUUUUCAAUUUGUAUUAAAGAAUGUAAGCCCUAUGAAUUAUUGUUUACUCCACAGGGUUGUAAUUAUUAGAAGAAGAUUAAUAAUUACAAUCAUAUUAUUGCUGUGUUGUUUAUUCUGUACCGGUCACACUGAGAGCAAAAGGUUCCAGGGUUACAUCUGGUUAAUAAGCAGACACAGGAACACUGUUUUGUUUCAGGUCUCCCCACAUAACUCACCCUAACCCACACCACACAGGACUCAAGGUCAUGAAGCAUCACUGAUAAGAGACCUCAUCCUGUUUUGUGUAACCACUUGUUUCAAUAAAAGGACUGUCGGGGGAGAACUGAGCCAGAGUGUUUUGGAGACGUGUGAAGGCACAGCUCAACUCUCUCCUUGCAGCAAGUAAAACUA